rfam:Ornithorhynchus anatinus chromosome 1, whole genome shotgun sequence.
CCCCUCUCAGGAUCACAUUUGGAGAGUUUUCAGUACUCUACCAGUCUCGGCUAUGAUAGGGGAGAGUCGAGCAGAGGUAUACCCGUUCCAUUCCUAGCUUGGGCAGUGGCUGGUGAGUGGAAGGCAAUCUGCUAUAAGU